ACACAUGCAAGUCGAGCGAUGAAACUUCCUUCGGGAAGUGGAUUAGCGGCGGACGGGUGAGUAACACGUGGGUAACCUGCCUCAAAGUGGGGGAUAGCCUUCCGAAAGGAAGAUUAAUACCGCAUAAUAUGAGAGAAUCGCAUGAUUUUCUUAUCAAAGAUUUAUCGCUUUGAGAUGGACCCGCGGCGCAUUAGCUAGUUGGUAAG
rnacentral:rRNA from 1 species